AUUGCUUCUCGGCCUUUUGGCUAAGAUCAAGUGUAGUAAAAAACUUACCACCCCCCCCAAAUUAGGUCCUGAUGGCUUUACUGCUGAAUUCUACAAGACAUUUAGUGAACUAUUGAUAUUACUCUUUAAACUCUUCAAUGAAUGAAAGGGAAGCAAUGCUUCCAAAUUAUUUCCAGAAGCAAGCAUCACCC
rfam:Fukomys damarensis contig156513, whole genome shotgun sequence.